CAGGGCUCCACCGGACCACUUUUACACGAAGUGAACAUGAAGAUUUCGCGGCGACUGGUGGGAUAAAGUGUAAGCAAGUAGAUGAGAGAUAGAGGUGCAGAAUACUUUAGCGGCUAAACAUGAAUUCUCAAUUUCCCUAUACUGUUGAUAUUCUUCACUCCGCAAGGCCCCUAUCCAGCUCUAAAACCCUCUUAGACCAUUACCCACCAUCUUUACCUCGAUUUUCUUAUGUAAAACGCGUUCUGAGAACCAAAUUACGGUAUAAUAAGCCUUGCACCAGUCACAGGACAAUUAGAAUAAGUGCCUACAAAGCUUCGGAUUCAACUUCCAGUUCACUUACUGGAACCCAGAAUGAGGAAGAAGAUGCUGAGUCUCUUAAGCUGUUCGAGAAACUGAAGGAGGCUGAAAGGAAACGAAUAAGUGACUUAGAAGAAUUUGAGAACAAGGCUAAUGUGCAGUUAGAGAGGCAACUUGUCAUGGCUUCAUCUUGGAGCAGAGCUUUAUUGACUAUGCGUGGCAAACUAAAGGGUACAGAGUGGGACCCAGAGAACUCACACAGGAUAGACUUCAGUGAUUUUCUGAGACUACUUGAUUCAAAUAAUGUCCAGUUUAUCGAGUACUCAAAUUAUGGUCAAAGUAUAUCAGUGAUUCUACCAUAUUAUAAGAAUGGACAGUCAUCAGGAACUGAAGGGAAUCCUAAGGAUAUUGUGUUUCGGCGCCAUGUAGUUGACCGGAUGCCGAUAGAUUGCUGGAAUGAUGUUUGGAGAAAGCUGCAUCAACAAGUUGUUAAUGUUGAUGUCAUUAACGUGGAUGCAGUACCUGCAGAAGUAUAUUCAACCAUUGCAACUGCAGUUAUAUGGUCUAUGCGGCUUGCCCUAGCUGUUGGUUUUUAUGUAUGGAUUGAUAAUUUGAUGAGACCAAUUUAUGCAAAGUUGAUACCUUGUGAUUUGGGAAAACCUAGUCCACAAGCUAGGCAGCCACUUGAACUUCGUACACUUGGAUCACUAGGCAAGAGCCGGGCUAAAUUUAUAUCUGCAGAAGAAAGAACUGGUGUUACAUUUGAUGAUUUUGCUGGCCAGGAAUAUAUAAAGAGGGAACUACAAGAGAUUGUCCGAAUUUUAAAGAAUGAAGAGGAGUUUCAAGACAAAGGAAUUUAUUGUCCAAAAGGCGUGCUUCUCCAUGGGCCUCCGGGAACUGGAAAAACAUUGCUGGCUAAGGCCAUCGCUGGUGAAGCAGGGCUGCCUUUUUUUGCAGCAAAUGGCACUGAUUUUGUAGAGAUGUUUGUAGGGGUUGCUGCAUCACGUGUUAAAGACCUUUUUAGCAAUGCCAGAUCAUAUGCACCUUCUAUCAUUUUUAUAGAUGAGAUAGAUGCUAUUGGUAGCAAGCGAGGAGGACCAGAUAUUGGUGGAGGCGGGGCUGAAAGGGAACAAGGCUUACUUCAAAUACUGACUGAGAUGGAUGGAUUUAAAGUUUCUACAGAACAGGUGCUUGUAAUUGGUGCAACAAAUAGAUUGGAUAUUCUUGAUCCUGCUCUUCUGAGGAAGGGUCGUUUUGAUAAGAUUAUCAGAGUUGGUUUACCGUCAAAAGAUGGAAGAUUGGCCAUUUUAAAGGUGCAUGCCAGAAAUAAAUUUUUCCGUUCAGAGGAUGAAAAGGAGAUGCUACUAAAAGAAAUUGCUGAGCUCACUGAAGAUUUUACUGGGGCAGAGCUGCAAAAUAUACUGAAUGAAGCUGGAAUUUUGACAGCCAGGAAGGAUUUGGAUUACAUUGGACGGGAUGAACUAGUUGAGGCAUUGAAAAGGCAAAAGGGAACAUUUGAAACUGGGCAAGAGGAUAGUGCUGAAGUUCCUGAAGAAUUGAGACUGAGAUUGGCUUACAGAGAAGCAGCUGUUGCUGUUCUUGCUUGUUGCUUUCCUGAACCGCACCGCCCUUUCGUUGAGACCAACAUAAAUUCCAUCAGCAGCCAACCAAAUAUGCAGUAUGCUGAAGCUUCUGGAAAGGUUUUUGCCAGGAAAUCAGAUUACAUAAAUUCUAUAGUGCGUGCUUGUGCUCCAAGAGUAAUCGAGGAGGAGAUGUUUGGGAUUGACAACUUGUGCUGGAUCUCUACAAAUGCAACAUUAAAAGCUUCAAGGCUUGCUGAAUUUUUAAUUCUGCAGACAGGAAUGACAGCAUUUGGGAAAGCAUUCUACAGAUAUGAAAGUGAUAUGGUGCCUAACCUAGCAAUGAAGCUUGAAGCACUCCGAGAUGAGUAUAUGCGUUAUGCUGUGGAGAAGUGUUCAUCGGUGUUGCGAGAAUAUCAUUCAGCUGUUGAGACAAUCACAGAUAUAUUGCUUGAAAAGGGACAAAUUAAUGCUGAUGAAAUCUGGGAAAUUUAUAGGAGAGCUCCUCGUGAAGCUCAGCCUAAUGUAAGUCCAAUCGAUGAAUAUGGAGCACUGAUUUAUGCUGGACGAUGGGGAAUCCAUGGAAUCUCUCUUCCAGGGAGGGUUACAUUUGCACCAGGCAAUGUUGGGUUUUCAACCUUUGGUGCACCCCGCCCGAUGGAGACCCAAAUUGUCAGUGAUGAAACUUGGAAACUGGUGGAUGACAUCUGGGACAAGAGGGUACAAGAAAUUAAAGAGGAAGCUUCGAAGGAGGUUCAGGAAGAUGAAGAAAAACCACAACUUUUGUUGGCAAGCCAUUUCCUUUGAAAGAAAAUUAUGUCUCCUGCGGCUUCAGGUUCAUGGGCAUCAUAUCGCAUCUCAGUUUUGAUAAUCUUUUAUUUGUUGUCUUUGUUGUUCGGUUCUCUUGUCGUGGAAGUAUCAGAAUAAGGUGACAGCUAACAGCCGAAAAGGAAAAAAAUACAGAAAAGAGAAUAAGUUGACAAUUAUAAACACAUUAUUGUAACUUCAGUGGCUGUGGGCAUCUGCCAUCAGAUGGGGAAAAGAAUCUGGGCACCAUUAAACAAGUCAGAGAAGUAGCAGUGAUUCACCCCUCCCCAUCUCCUCUCUUGCCAUUUUGAACUCGUUCAAAAAAGACUUGCUCAAGAGGGAACUAGAACUAGGUCCAUAGUAGUUGCAGAGUUUCAUUAAAUUCAAACGGAGAGACUACUGACACUGAGGCACAAAUGAGGCACUGGGGUGUUCAGUUUGAGCUCCAACGAAGUGCAAGUCUCUGAAUGAAAGGGUUGUAGCCACUAAAAUACUUCUGUUGAACUUCAGCUUCAGAAAUCUAAAUGUAUCACAGGGAUGCGUCAUUGUGGGUAUACUGUAAACUUGAAGUCAUCCUUGCUGAGUUGCUGUACAGCAGAGAAUUGCAUGUAUCCCCAACAAAAUCAUCAGAGUAACUCUACAGGAAUAAUUUGUUUUGAUUAUAAAUGUAUGUUGCGUUAACAUUAUAUCCAAAGUCUUAGUUGUUGAUAGAGUACAAGAACAUCAUGUAAUCAAUAUAGCUAUAUAGCCGAUUCCAUAUGGUAGGAGAACACUUGUUGUUCUUAGUCUUUUAUAGGAAGUUUUUCAAGGAAUCCCAUUUUUUGUAAAACUGAUUUCUGUUUUAUACUCCUUGAGUGUGGCAGGGUUCUUAUAUCAUUUUUUGGGUGUAGGAAGAAAAUUUGGAUAUUCUUUACAGAGUGAUUAUGCUAA